rnacentral:lncRNA from 1 species
AUGGUUUCCACUAUGAUAACCACAAAUUUGACUUUGAAAUCUGAAGCACUAACUGUUUGCCAGAGAGCAAGAGGAGAAGUUGGUGUGGUCCAUACAGGUCAGCCUCUUUGCAGGGGCUGGAAGAAUGAAUGGAGGAUGCAGAGAAGCCAGCAAACAAGGUACCUGCCACACGUACUGUUUACAACAGCUGCGCCUAAUUUAAAGCAACAAAACUUCAAAGAAAGGAAAGAACAUCUUCUGGAAACAUCAGGAUGAUCUGACUCCAGGCACUGACACCAUCAUCCAUCAGAAGUCAUGACCUGUGAUUUGAGGGUAUGAAUUAGAUCGUAGAUUCUCAAGAGAAUUGAUGCCCUUUGGCAACUGUAAAAUGAAGAACUCUGUAUCAUUUUGUUGAGGAUGAGUGAUGUAGUUUUUUGUUUUUGUUUUUUAAUACGAUGGCUUUAAGUGAAGACAGGGCCACACAAAUUGCAUGACUAACUCCUCUCAAAAGUUAGAUAUCUUUUGCAGCCUACUCACUGAAGUCAUUUACAGUUCUUAAUACCAGCAAAGUGGAUAUAAUUGCACAGUGGGAUUUAUUCUAGAUGAAUCAGGAUAUGGGGGAGAAAAAUGGACACAUUAAGAAGAAAAAUUAAAUUGAGCACUUAAAAUAAUUGACCAAAGAAAAUGGUCAAUGUAUGUUUUAUCUUUUCUUCCUUUAAAAAUACAUGUUGUAUGGAAAUUGUGAUGAGGGGAAAAAAAAAAAAAGAAAAAACCCACACACAAUUAAAAGGGACAGGUACCUGACUGGGUUUUCCCAUCUCUUCCCCCAAAUGUCCAGCUCACAGGAACUCCUAUGGUCCACCUCUGUGCAGAGAUGAAAAUCUUUCCUUUCCAGAGUCAAAGUCAGCUCUCUGAAUGUUUAUAGCCUAAAAUUAGUGUCUGUGAAGCUGGUAAGACUGUUGCUUUGAACAUUGGUGUUUUAGGCAGUUUCCAGGUAACACUGAAAUGACCGUUUCUUAGCACUUGCCAAACCUAUGAACAAUUGUUAAAAUCUAAAUUAAACCCAUAUUAAACUGACUUUUUUUUUUGACAUCAAAGUGAUGCCAAGAUACCUGAUAUGAUACCCAGAGUGAGUAUGGAAAAGAGGGACUCUCACUAUGCUUUUGGGAAAAGUGUAAAUUGACACAACUUUUUCAAACAAACUUGAUAAAAUGUACUUCCAAGUCUUAAAGCAGUCAUUUAUUUAAUCAAGAGUAUUUAUUGAGUGUCUUCUAUAUCAUGGGCUGGCAAUUAUAUUCUAUCAGUGAGUGAAUAGACAUUACACAGAUAAUUACAAGUGCAAUGACCCCCAUGAAAGGAAAGUCAAAAGGACCUGAGAGAGAGGCAUCAGUCCUGCGAAAGUAAUUAGUCUACAGGGAGUUCCCGUCGUGGCGCAGUGGUUAACGAAUCCGACUAGGAACCAUGAGGUUGCGGGUUCGGUCCCUGCCCUUGCUCAGUGGGUUAAUGAUCCGGUGUUGCCAUGAGCUGUGGUGUAGGUUGCAUACGAGGCUCGUAUCCCGCGUGGCUGUGGCUCUGGCGUAGGCUGGUGGCUACAGCUCCGAUUCGACCCCUAGCCUGGGAACCUCCAUAUGCCGCGGGAGCGGCCCAAGAAAUAGCAACAACAACAACAA